GAUGAACGCUGGCGGCGUGCCUAAUACAUGCAAGUCGAGCGAACAGACGAGGAGCUUGCUCCUCUGACGUUAGCGGCGGACGGGUGAGUAACACGUGGAUAACCUACCUAUAAGACUGGGAUAACUUCGGGAAACCGGAGCUAAUACCGGAUAAUAUAUUGAACCGCAUGGUUCAAUAGUGAAAGACGGUUUUGCUGUCACUUAUAGAUGGAUCCGCGCCGCAUUAGCUAGUUGGUAAGGUAACGGCUUACCAAGGCGACGAUGCGUAGCCGACCUGAGAGGGUGAGCGGCCACCGGGGAACGGAGACAGCGCCAAGCCCCCGAGGGGAGGAGGCAGGGGGAAACCUCCCGCAAGGGGCGAAGGCCGGAGGGGGCAGGCCGGGGGGAGUGAGGAGGGUCUGCGGAUCAAAAAACUCUUUUAUGAGGAAAAAACAAAUGUGUAAGAAAAUAUGCCCGUUUGGACGUUCCCUAAUAAGAAAGCCACGGCUAACUACGUC
rnacentral:rRNA from 1 species